AACGCGAAGAACCUUACCUGGGCUCGAAAUGUACAGGACAGCGGUAGAAAUAUCGUCUCCCAGCAAUGGGUCUGUAUAUAGGUGCUGCAUGGCUGUCGUCAGCUCGUGUCGUGAGAUGUUGGGUUAAGUCCCGCAACGAGCGCAACCCUUAUCUUCAGUUGCUACCAUUUAGUUGAGCACUCUGACGAAACCGCCUCGGAUAACGGGGAGGAAGGUGGGGAUGACGUCAAGUCCUCAUGGCCUUUAUGUCCAGGGCUACACACGUGCUACAAUGGCCGGUACAAACCGCUGCAAACCCGCGAGGGGGAGCUAAUCGGAGAAAGCCGGCCUCAGUUCGGAUUGGAGUCUGCAACUCGACUCCAUGAAGCUGGAAUCGCUAGUAAUCGUGGAUCAGCAUGCCACGGUGAAUACGUUCCCGGGCCUUGUACACACCGCGCAUA
rnacentral:rRNA from 1 species